rnacentral:ncRNA from 1 species
ACUGCAGCUUGGUAUUGAUUUUAGAGUUUUGAUGCGUAGCGUAGUGGUGAGGGUUUGAAGCUUCGAUUUCGGUUGGAGUGGACCCGACAAUGAAACAGCCAUCUUUAAAACUUUAACGUCUAACUACGUGGGAACCCUUCGGGGAAGCCCACAUAGGACAGUGCUUGGUAGGCAGUUUAAAUGGGGCGUUUUCCUCCCAAAGAGUAACGGAGGAGUUUAUUAAGGUUGGCUUAGCCCGGAUGGAAAUCGGGCAAGACGUGUAAACGCACAAGCCAGCUUGACUGCAAGACCUACAAGUCGCGCAGAUGCGAAAGCAGAAGUUAGUGACCCGACGG